rnacentral:tRNA from 1 species
UGUUCUGUAGCUUAGUUGGUUAAAGCGCCGGUCUAGCGUACACUGAGUCGUGAGUUCGAGUCUCACUAGAACGC